ACUGCAUUUCUGCAUUUUUAAUUGCACAUCAAAAUUAAUCAAAUUAUGUCUGUAGACAUCUAGAGCAUUUUUCACCACCAACCACGGUAAUUUAUUAGCCCCAUCACACACCAUGCAAGGAUAAAUAUCUACAUUUACAUCAUGCAUGGCAGCAUGUGUCAUGAUGAUUGAUAAUAGAUCUAUGAUUGUAGGUCUACUAUCAAAUUUAACGAGUAACAACAUUAUCUGCUAUGGCUAUGGUUAUAGAUCUAGAUCUAUUUUAAGUCUAUAUUGUACAUAUAGAUCUAUAUCUAGAUUCUAGAGAUCAAGCGAGAGUUGAGAUGCCAAAACAUGGUAAUGACCUGGUUUAUUAUUGUGUUAUUUCGAACUUCGCCGAGUGCAAAAGAAACGAAGCUGCAUCAGUCGAGAGAAAGAAGAAGAAAGCUACCCUAGCCCUAGGACAGAUGCAUAUAUAUAUUUAAUAUAUCUAUACAGGAUGGUUGCCUGGUCGUGCGGUUAGCGCGCUGGACUGUCGUUCGGAUUUAUCGACGGUCGAGGGUUCAAACCCUGCCCGCUGCCAUCCCCCGUCGUCCUGCGGGAGGUUUGGACUAGGAAGUAAACUAUCUUCAACUCUGAAGGAACAUCCGAAACAUGUAAAACAUUUUACAAAACAACAAACAUGCACGAACUCACGAACUGUGUCAAACUCUGUCACUCCAGAAUAUAAGGCUUGAUCAGUCACACCAAAUUCUGCCCCAUCUCAAAACGAAAUCAGUGACUCACCUGUCUUCCCGACUCAUUGUGAUUGUCUUCCGACACAUGAGGAGCCAUAUCUAGAUCUAGAAUCUAAUUAUAACUUAAAAUGCACGUGAUUUGUUGGAGACACGGGGAAAAAAGUUUGACCUAGAUCUAGAUCUAUGUCUAGUCUAGAUCUACUUUUAGUGAAAGAUCUAGAUCUAAAUCUAGAUACUUUUAGAUACUUAAUAUAGAGCAGCUCAUUUUUCUGAUUCAAUCAAUUACUUUUGUGUUUGUAGGCCUAUAAAUUAGCGUGCUUCGUAUUUUGGAUACUUCAAAAAUAUUGGAUUUUUGUUGAUAUAACCAUUGAGUUACCAUUGUUAUAGGCCUACACGGAUUAUUGGAACAGUUUGGAUUAUUUAAUACGCAAAGAUUUGAAAAAAUUAAAAAACACCAUUCAUGAAAUGUACAAAUUAUAUUUGUUUCUAUACUGCAUUCUUGGAGCUGCUGUUUAUAAGAACUCAGUUAUGUCUUCAUUUCAAAGUGUACAUUUAUUUAAAGGCAUUGAAGGAGUUGUGAAUGGAAUGAUUAUGUUUUAUGUAUUAGCUGAGUUUUCUAGAUUUUAUGAAAUUUUAAGCUUCAUAUGUUCUUUCAUAAAUAAAUAUUAUGGUUUAACACAAACGUCUUGCAGUUCUGCAGUGAAUGACUUCAGGAAGGGUUUAAACUUGGGUCAAUAGUGAUAACAAUCUGAAAGGGCCAGGUAGCUAUUUUUAUAUGUGAAAUCAAAUUCUUAUAAGUAAGAUCUUAUCUCUUAUAAUUGUAUUUCCAAGUAUUUACAGUUAUGCUUUUAGCUAAGUACCAAUCAUUUAUAUUUGUAUAUCCAAUUAUACUAGGCUAAAUGUAAUUACCAGUGUGAAUAUCCUGGGAUAGGUAUAAUCAGUUAUAUUUGCAUAUCCAGCUUUGUAGGGGUUGAGGUUAGGCACAUAUUUAUUUUAAAAUUCCCAAUGAUAUUUUUGUUGUACUUUUUAUCAGUGUAAUCAGCUAUGUUAGUAUGUCCAGGUAUGUUCUGGGCCGAGUGCAAACAGUGUGAAAGGUUACUUCUCUGAGAUGUGGAACUACAUGGACAUCACCAUGUUGGCGUUGUAUACUGCUGGCUACUCCACGACGGUGUGAUCUAUACAAAAACCAAUGGAUACUUUGCUGACAACCAACUGAUUCACAUUGAAGGAUGUUGGCAAGUUCACCUUCAUCUAUUUCAGUCAUGAUUGCCUUUAUAUGUGGACAAAUAAGCCUAUACAGUAUUUCCAAGAAUGAGAACUUUGCAGGAUAGAGUCAUUUGACUUACAAG